rnacentral:rRNA from 1 species
AUUGAACGCUGGCGGCAGGCCUAACACAUGCAAGUCGAGCGGAUGAAGGGAGCUUGCUCCUGGAUUCAGCGGCGGACGGGUGAGUAAUGCCUAGGAAUCUGCCUGGUAGUGGGGGAUAACGUCCGGAAACGGGCGCUAAUACCGCAUACGACCUGAGGGAGAAAGUGGGGGAUCUUCGGACCUCACGCUAUCAGAUGAGCCUAGGUCGGAUUAGCUAGUUGGUGGGGUAAAGGCCUACCAAGGCGACGAUCCGUAACUGGUCUGAGAGGAUGAUCAGUCACACUGGAACUGAGACACGGUCCAGACUCCUACGGGAGGCAGCAGUGGGGAAUAUUGGACAAUGGGCGAAAGCCUGAUCCAGCCAUGCCGCGUGUGUGAAGAAGGUCUUCGGAUUGUAAAGCACUUUAAGUUGGGAGGAAGGGCAGUAAGUUAAUACCUUGCUGUUUUGACGUUACCAACAGAAUAAGCACCGGCUAACUUCGUG